GAGAAGAGGGGCUGGCUCUGAGACCCCGCCUCGCGGGGGGUGCCUCCUCCCCUGCGAUGGGGUUCCUAAGGUCCAGUGGGGGAGGAGGGGCUGGCUCUCUUUACCCGCCUCGCGGGGGGUGCCUGCUCCCCCUGCGACGGGGGUCCUAAAGGCCAGUUGGGAAGAGGGGCUGGCUCUGAGACCCCGCCUCGCUGGGGGUGCCUCCUCCCCCUGCGAUGGGGGUCCUAAGAGCCAGGGGGGUAAGAGGGGCUCGCUCUCAGUCCCCGCCUCGCCGGUCGUGCCUCCUCCCCCUGCGAUGCUGUUCCUAAGAGCCAGGGGGGGAAGAGGGGUUGGCUCUCAGUCCCCGCCUCACCGCGGGUGCCUCCCCCCCCUGCGAUGGGCUUCCUUAGAGCCAGGAGCAGAAGAGGGGCUGGCUCUCUGUACCCGCCUCGCGGGGGGUGCCUCCGCCCCCUGUGAUGAGGGUCCUAAGAGCCAGAAGGCUUAGAGGGGCUGGCUCUGAACCCACGCCUCGCGAGGUGCCUCCUCACCUUGCGAUCGGGGUUCCAAGAGCCAUGGGGGAAGAGGGGCUGGCUCUCUUUUUGGAUGAUUCUUUUUCCUUUCUCAGGCAGUUUUCUUUUUUCUUUCUUUUUUUUUUUUUUUUUGAGACUGAGUCUUGCUCUGUUGCCCAUGCUUUGCUGGAUCUCGGGUGACUGCAACCACUGCCUCCCAGGUUCAAGAGAUUCUCCUGCCUCAACCUCCUGAGUAGCUGGGACUAGAGGCGUGUGUCACCACACCCUGCUAAUUUUUGUAUUUUUAGUAGAGAUGGGGUUUCACCAUGUUUGCCAGGAUGGUCUCUAUCUCCUGACCUUGUGAUCCACCCACCUCAGCCUCCCAACGUGCUGGGAUUGCAGGUGCGAGCCACCGGGUCCAGCCUUUCAGGCGAUUUUCAUACCUGCAUACUCUGAUCACUACUCUGUUAAACAGUCAAGGAGGCUGAGUGCCACGUGCUGACAUCACUAAGAUCAAUACAGCAAACUCUGAAAGAUGGACAGAGAGAGAGGAGAUGGUCCUUUAUAAUGCAGUGUGAUCUGUGCUGCAAUAGAGUUUUGGAAGCUAGAAGUUCAAAACGAGGUGUUGGCAGCACCAUGCUCUCUCUGAAGAUGCUAGGAAGAAUCUGCUCCAUGCCUUUCCAUUCGCUUCUGGGGUUUCCUGCAAGCCCUGACAUUCCUUGGCUUGUAGAUGCAUCACCCCAGUUUCCGCCCCCAUCAUCACAUGGCCUCCUCUCUGUGUGUGCCUCUCUGUUCCCUCUAUUCUUCUUCUAAGGACACCGACACCAGUCAUAGUGGAUUAAGGGUCCACUCCUAACUAAUUACAUCUGCAACAACCCUAUUUCCAAAUAAAGUCACAUUCUAAGAUUCCUAGGGAGAACAUGAAUUUUUGGGGGUGUGUGGAUACUGUUCAACCUGGGACAUGGAGUAAAUAAAUGGCAAGGAAGAUUACAGAUGACUUUAAGCUAAAGAGGGAGAUAGGGUUAAAUGUAGGACUUUUUUUUUUUUCCAGGACGGGAGAGGUUUAAACAUGUUACUACAUUGAAUAAAUGAAAUAACCAUGGACAUGGAGUGGCUAAAGAUUCUGAACUAAGUGCAAGUAAUUGAUAGCGCAAG
rnacentral:lncRNA from 1 species